GACGAACGCUGGCGGCGUGCCUAAUACAUGCAAGUAGAACGCUGAAGAGAGGAGCUUGCUCUUCUUGGAUGAGUUGCGAACGGGUGAGUAACGCGUAGGUAACCUGCCUUGUAGCGGGGGAUAACUAUUGGAAACGAUAGCUAAUACCGCAUAACAAUGGAUGACACAUGUCAUUUAUUUGAAAGGGGCAAUUGCUCCACUACAAGAUGGACCUGCGUUGUAUUAGCUAGUAGGUGAGGUAACGGCUCACCUAGGCGACGAUACAUAGCCGACCUGAGAGGGUGAUCGGCCACACUGGGACUGAGACACGGCCCAGACUCCUACGGGAGGCAGCAGUAGGGAAUCUUCGGCAAUGGGGGCAACCCUGACCGAGCAACGCCGCGUGAGUGAAGAAGGGUUUCGGAUCGUAAAGCUCUGUUGUAAGUCAAGAACGAGUGUGAGAGUGGAAAGUUCACACUGUGACGGUAGCUUACCAGAAAGGGACGGCUAACUACGUG
rnacentral:rRNA from 1 species